CUGGCCAAGUUUGUCUCCAGACCUAAACCCUGUUGAGCAUCUGUGGGGCAUCCUCAAACGGAAGGUGGAGGAGUGCAAGGUCUCUAACACCCACCAGCUCCAUGAUGUCGUCAUGGAGGAGUGGAAGAGGACUCCAGUGGCAACCUGUGAAGCUCUGGUGAACUCCUGACCUGCUCGGCCUGUUGGGUCGACCUCCGCGUCGUCCCCUGCACUGUCUGGGUUCCCCGUUGCCCUGCCUUCAGGCCGUCAGCCUGAGGUUCCCUGAUGCCCUUGAGCUUCUCUGGCAGUCCACCAGAGAGUUUGAUUUGAACUGUGUUUCCAAUGAUUUUUAGUUUUUGGAUGUUUUUUGGUUUUCUGAGUUCCCUGGAUCCCUCCUCCUGUCAUCCCUCCACCCACCCUGGUUUGUGUUGUUUUGGACUUGUGUUUUUGAUGACUUGUUUGACUUGUUUUUUUUUCUGGUGUUGGGAUUGGGUUGUUUUUGGAACGCUGGGUGUCGUUCCUUGAGGAGGGAUGCUGUCAGGGGUUUGGGUUUGUUGGUUGUGUCUGUUUCGGUGUUCAUUCCCUGCCCUUGUGUUUGUUCUUCUGUGUACUAUGUGUUACUUUGGUCAUUUGUUUAUUAGUCAGGGUCACUUAUGAGUUCAUUUAGUGUUUUCCAGUCUUGUUUUACUGUCUCUAUGUUCUGUAGGUUUUUUGUUGGCGAGUUACUUUUGAUGUCUGUGUUAUGUUUCAUUGUUUUAGUUUGUAGUUAGUCUGCCCUAGUGUCUCUUGUCUUGUUUUACUUCCUGCCUGUCCUUCAUUGUCUUAGUGGUUUCACCUGUGUGUAAUUAGUUUCUCACUCACCUGUGCAUUUACUGUAAGUGGUUGUCUCUUUCAAUCAGUGCCAGUUAAUUUUGGAUGUUGCUGUGGAUGUUUCCCAUGUUUCCAGUUUGGUGUUUGUUACUAGUGUUUCCAGUAUCUCUGGUGUUUCUCGUGCCCUUGUGGUUUUGGUUAUUUUCAUUGGACUUUUGAUUACUAACCACCUGGUAACAGUGACAGUUCGGACCUUGUGCAGCUCAAAGCCUGGGUCGUGCUGAUGGAAGUCAGAGGUUACCCACCCCACCCAAACACAGCUGGGCUCCUGACCAGGGAAGAUCCGCACUGAGUAGUAGUGCUGCACAGAACGAGAGGUUCAAUCCAGUCAAGUUUAAUUGCAUUGCCCUUGAAUACAGUUACUUUCUCAAAGGGCUUUACAACUCCUGAAAUAUGUGGAAUUAAGAACUUCUUUCAGCCAUCCCUUCCCCUGACAGACGGGCAGAUGAUGGACAGCUGUUGUCCGGCUUGUUUCUCUUCAACAUGAACCUGGAAGAUCAUAUGGUCCAUUGGGACCACUGUGACUAUGAGAAGACUUCAUCAGGACCUCAAAGUCUGACACAGUUUCAAAGUCCUCCAGCUCCUGCAUAAACACACAGUGAACAUACCACACACUUUCUCAGUCAUAUACCCAACCCUACUUUGUACACUAGCAGGUAAUUGUGAAGCAGUAAAUGGUAAAAUGGUGAGCUUUCCUUUAAUAGUUUUAUGAACAAUGUAAAUAAGAUGACAUACAUGUACAGAGAUGUAAAGUAUGCAGCUGAGUAAGGAAAUUUAAGAUAAUGUGCAAUGUGGAUAUGUGUUAAGUGCAUGUCAGUGUGUUUGUGGUAGUGUUACCCUCUUAGGCGAGAAGAGGCUGUCACUAGGUGAGGAUCUGGAGAAGGAGUCUGCACACUCUAUGGGCAUGCUCAGUCUGUAGAAGGUGAUGUCAGUGUAACUGUUUUGUGAGCCAAAUGACCUCUGGGUGACCCUUAGGCAUGGACAUGACUCCACUGUCCCAUCUAUCCUUGUCACCUGAAAAAGGAAAAAAAAGCAGAAACCAUUAGUUCUGUCUGUACUGUCAGUUUAGCGUGUUCCAAUCAGCUUGGAUCACUUUUUUCAGUAGUUAAUUGAACAGGUUUGUGGAAAAAAACAUAAAAGAUAAAACAUGUUCUGAAAAGUGUCCAAAAAUGUGGAUUUCAUUUCACUCCAAAUCUCAGGCCAGUGCCUUUGAAGGCUCUACCAAAAAUUACAGUGGUAAGGAUUCUACUUACUACUACGAUGAUGUAGUUGCUUUUCUCACAGGGUUGGUUUAUCCAGUAAUUAACUUGACACAUUUCCACAAAUAGAGUUGCACAAUAGUGUGAGUGACAUAUGGUUUCGCCUUGUAGCAGGACGGAGGGGCAAGUUAGUGGAGGUGAGUACUGUCAAAUAAGCUGAGACCGCCACGCUCUUGUUAUCAGGUCUCAUGGGAGAAGACUGAAAAUGUUUUCCUUUUUGAAACAACAAAUCAGUGAGCAAUGGAACUGUAAGGUACUUUCCACCUGAAUUGCACAGCACUUACCAAACUAUGAGCUGUAGAAAUUCUUAUGAUGAACAGAUGAUUCUUGUAGUAAAAUGUGAUGUGAUGAACUAAUGUAAAUUAGUAAAACAACUUAUAGGUUUUUAGUGGCACCUUUAGAUACCUCUAUUCAAUGCUUUACUCGUGCUACAGUAAUGUAAUGUUUUUCAC